rnacentral:rRNA from 1 species
ACUCAAAUGAAUAGACGGGGACCCGCACAAGCGGUGGAGCAUGUGGUUUAAUUCGACGCAACGCGAAGAACCUUACCAGGGCUUGACAUCCCCCGCCAUCUUGGGAAACCAGGAGUUCCGCCCUUCGGGGCGGACGGGGAGACAGGUGGUGCAUGGUUGUCGUCAGCUCGUGUCGUGAGAUGUUGGGUUAAGUCCCGCAACGAGCGCAACCCCUACUUUCAGUUGCCAUCAUUAAGUUGGGCACUUUGGAGGAACUGCCGGUGACAAACCGGAGGAAGGUGGGGACGACGUCAAAUCAUCAUGCCCUUUAUGUCCUGGGCUACACACGUGCUACAAUGGCCGGUACAGAAGGAAGCAAAGCGGCGACGCAGAGCGAAUCCCAAAAAGCCGGUCUCAGUUCGGAUUGCAGUCUGCAACUCGACUGCAUGAAGUCGGAAUCGCUAGUAAUCGCGAGUCAGCAUAUCGCGGUGAAUACGUUCCCGGGUCUUGCACACACCGCCCGU